UAUAUAUAUAUGAGAUUGUUUUAAGUUGUUAUUCUCUUAAUUGCAAGUACAUCUCCAGUGUCCUGCAUUCAUACCCUCCUCUUCUCACAAUUUCUGAUUUUGGUGGCAUAAUUGUGUAUCUUUACUGUAUAUAUAGCUUUACUGGUGAGCCUUGUCAUUUGUGGUAUUUUUGUUACUGGUUGAGGCCUUUUCUCUUCUGUAUAGAGAAGUUCCUUUAGUAUUUGUUGUAAAGCUGGUUUAGUGUUGCUGAAUUCUCUCAGCUUUUGCUUAUCUGUAAAACUUUUGAUUUCAACUUCAAAUCUGAAUGAGAGCCUUGCUGGGUAAAGUAAUCUUGUUUGGUUGGAGGUUUUUUCGUUUCAUCAUGUUAAGUAUGUCAUGCCACUCCCUUCUGGCCUACAGAGUUUCUGCUGAAAAAUAUGCUGAUAACCUUAUUGCGCUUCCCUUGUAUGUUAUUUGUUUCUUUUCCCUAGCUGCUUUCAAUAUUUUCUCUUUGUCUUUAAUUUUGGUCAGUUGGAUUAAUAUGUGUCUCUGGGUGUUCCUCCUUGGGUUUAUUUUAUAUGGUACUCAUUGUGCUUCCUGGAUUUGAGUGAGUGGUCCCUUUCUCAUGGUAGGGAAGUUUUCAGCUAUUUCUCUACAAAUAUUUUUUCUGUCCCUUUCUCUCUCUCUUCUCCUUCUGGAACCCCUAUAAUAUGGAUGUUGGUGUGUUUAACAUUGUCACAGAGUUCUCUGAGACUCUCUUCAUUUGUUUUCAAUCUUUUUUCUGUUCUGUGUCCAUGAUUUCCACUUAUCUGUCUUCCACCUUGCUUAUUUGUUCUUCUACCUCUUAUAUUCUGCUGUUGGCUGCUUCUAAUGACAUUUUUAUUUCAGUUACUGUAUUUUGCAUCUUUUCUUGCUUAAGUUUUAUAUCUUGCUUCUCUUUGCUCAGUGUUUCCUGUAAAUUAUCCAUCUUUGCCUCCAGUUUAUUGCUGAUGUCUGGCCUCAUCUUCAGCAUCAACAGUCUAAAGUCUUUUUCCUGGAGGCUGAGAAUCUCCUGAUCACUUAGCUGUUUUUCAGGGGUUUUUUCUUUCUCCCUUACCUGAGUUAUAGUUCUCUGUCUUUUCAUUUUUAUAGGUUUUUGGUGUGGUGACCUUUUUACAGAUAACAGAGUUGUAGCCUCUCUUCUGGCGUCUGCCCCCCUUGUGGCUGAAGUUGUAUGGGGGCUUGGUGUAGGCUUCCUGAUGGGAGGGACUGAGGCCUGCCCACUGGUAGAUGGAGCUGAUUCCUAUCCCUCUGGUGGGUGGGGCUUUGUCUCUGGGUGAAAUUAGAGACAGCUGUGUGCCUGGGGGAGUUUUAGGCAGCUUGUUUACUGGUGGGCAGGGCUGCGAUCCCACCUGGAUUGUUGUUUGGCCUGGGGAUUCUCAGUGCUAAUGGGUGGGGCUAGAAUUUCCCAAAAUGGCCACCUCCAGAGAAAGGCACGCUGAUGAAUAUUCCCAAGAGCUUUGCUUCCAACGUCCUUCCCCCACAACAAGCCACAUUCAUCCCUGCUUUCCCAGGAGGUCCUCCAUGAACCUCAGCUAGGCCCUACCCAGAUUCCCAUGGAGACUUUGCUUUGCCCUGGGACCCAGUGCACCUGAACAUCCGUGUGUGCCUCCUGUGAAUGGGGUCUCUGCUUCCACCAGUUCUGUGGAGCUCCUGUGCACCAGCCCCACCAGCCUUCAAUGCAAGAUGCUCCAGGGGCUCUUUCUCCCAGUGCCAGAUCCUCACACAUGGGGGUUUGAUGUGGGGCUCAGAACUCUCACUCCUGUAGGUGAGUCUCUGUGAACAAGUUACUUUCCAGUUUGUGGGGCUUCCCACCUGGGAGGCAUAGGGUUGCGUAUAUCACAUAAUUGCCCCUCCUAAAUCUUGAUGUGUUCUCCUCUUUGUCUUCUGGAGUAGGAUAUCUUUUUGAAAGUUUCCAGUCCAUUUGGUUGAAGGUUGCUCAGCAUUUGGUUGUAAAUUUUGUUGUUUUUAGGAGAGAAGUUGAGCUCCAAUCCUUCUGUUCCACCAUCUUAAUCCCAUCCCUCAGCAUUAUGUUUCAAGUUUCUCUUAGUUGGAAGCUUUAACUAGAGUUGGCACUAUGUUCACACUUCACGAUAUGGUAAAUUACAGCUAUAACCAUUUACCCAAUCAUACUCAUUCACUUCAACCUUCUUAAGAGGCACGCCUUUAUCUUUCUAGAAUACAUAAUACUAAUCUUAAUCUUGUUUUGCAUAGGCAUUUUUCCAUUUGGGUUAUUUUAGAGAUUUUUAAUGAAUUUAUUAACUUGCAUUAAGAAAAUGAAUUUUAAUCACUGUAUUUCUUUCUUUCCACACUGCUUCAUAUCAGAACAUCAGCCUUGACAUCAGACCAACAUAGCAAAUAGCAAAAAUAAUGUAACAUGGACAAAUUCAUGCCUCUCUUUGCUUUAAACUAGAGUCUUGGUAGCCAAAUUGGAAAUACUUGAAUAGUUUCAGGGUAUAAGAUUAGAAAGUGGUUCUUUCAAAAUUGGCAUCAUUGAAAUAAGCCUAUCCUUAGAAAUAUUUGUAAAUAUAUUUGGUACAUCAAAAUAAAAGCUGCUGCUGUUUACAUCAGGACAAACUUCUUAUCCAAAAGAAAAGGAUUUCUUUCAGGUUAUUAGAAAAUGGCACCACUAAUUAUUAUCGAGUUUAUUCUAGAAAGUUCUUAUUUGCUACUGCAUAGUAUCAAAUUUGUGUUGCUGAUUAAUUGCAAAAUACUAAAUAUUGUUCAUUGGUAAAUGGUAGUUUCACAAAAGGAACUCUAAGUCAAACUGCUAAUGGCUCUAUCUAGAUUUCUGAAACACCUGGUUAAUAAGGGUAAUUAUCUUUAGGAAUGACUACAUAACUAUCUUUUUUAAAUGUUCAUAUUAUCAUAUAAAUUUUCCCUUUAAAGCAAAUCUCUAAAAUCCAUAAUUAGCCACAAAUCUCAAAAUACCUCAGAUAAUAUUUAGAAAAGUAUGGUAGCUAGAUAUAUAAAUAAAUAAAAAUAAAUGAUUCAAUCAUAAAUCAUUUAAAAAAUAUUCCACAAAAAAUUUAAGUAUUUACAAUGGAAAUAUUCCUUUAUAAGGCAAUAUCUGUGCAUCAUAUACCCAAUUAGCUUCCAGAUUGGUAAUGGGAAUAUUUUCAUUUCUAAACCAAUCCUAAUCAAUUUAUAUUGUGACUGUGUUUCCAAAGUACCCCAUAGUCCACAGUUGCCAAGAUCUUUAUGCAUUGUAUUAAAUAAUCAUUCUAACUGAGCAGCAGAAUUUCAAGAGUGUUUCAGACACCAUCCCCUCCCACAGCAAUAAUGACCAUAAACCAUUUUGGACCUGAUGGAUAUGUUUAUGGCAUUGAUUAUGGUGAUGAUUUCAAGGGUGUGUGCUUAUCUCCAAACUCAUUAAGUUGUAAAUAUUAAAUACUUAAGCUUUGUAUGUGUCAACUGUAUCUCAAUAAAGUGUUUUAUUUUUAAAUAAUAGCCACAAACAAAUAUACAUUUGCAUUUUGGCUAUUUUCAUACAUAUCAAAUAAUUCACUAUACAUUACAAGGUUACAGUUGCUGAAUAUAAAGUUUUCAUAAUCAUGGACAGCAUAGUGAAACAUUUAAUCUUGGGCUUAAAGUAAGUAGGUAACUUUGGAAAAAUCACUUUACCUCUUUGUGCCUCUAUAAAAUUAGCAUAAUUAUUACCUGGCCUAUGCAGGGGUUGUUGUGAGUCUCAAAUAAGUUAACACAUAGUGCUAUGAAGCGUUCCAUUACCUUAUAAAUGCAAGGGAUUAGUUCUGCUUUAUGGGUAAGAGGAAGUAGUAGCAGCUGUCACCUUGAGCCUGACCUUGAAAUGUAGGACAGGACUUACCAUAGCAAAUGCAUGUCAAUUAGUCUUUUUCCCAAGCAUACCUGAGCUCACUUUUGAUUAUGACACUGUCUCUGGAAGUUUUAUUUUGCUCUGAAUGUCUCUAUUAAGUUUACUCCAGUGAACCUCCCUUUCUUUGUUCUUUCUAUAUAUGUAAUAUUCCGGAGGGCAGUGAAUUGUGGAGAAACAAUUUUAUCAACUGAAAACAAAGGUUCUGGUGAGACUGCAGGAACAGUUUUAAUAAUCAAUUGACAUUCAGGCUCUGUCCACAUAACAAACAAAUGACUGGGAAAUGAGUAAAGAAAUGAGUAUAUUUCUUUUUUUUCUUUCUUUUUACAUCUGCACUUUCAGCAUGUGGAAGUUCCCAAGCCAGGGGUUGAAUCCUAGCUGCAGCUGGGGCCUAAGCUACAACCAGAUCAGAUCCGAGCAGCAUCUGUCAGUUUACAGCAAUGCUGGAUCCUUAAUCCACUGAGCAAGGCCAAGGAUUGAACUUGCAUUCUCACAGAGACAAUGUUGGGUCCUUAACCAGCUGAGUCACAAUGAGAACUCUGAUGACAGUUUCUUAGCAUGAAAAUAAUAUAUAUCCUGCACAAAGAUAAAUCAAAAAACUCAUUUCAAGCACUCACAUUUGGGGGAGAUUGCAAGUCAGAUUCUUCCUCUUUAACCAUCCUAGUGAGGUAUAACCCUUUUUUGCUUUAUCUUUAUUUUUCUUUUCAAAUCUUCAAAACAAGGGUUGUGGGAAGAGAGUGAUGAACAGUAAAGAUUUACAUCUCAUAUGAGUGGCUUUAUAUUUUAGGGUAAACUAUGUGUAGAGAAAAGAGCAAUACGUUUAGCCGAAAAACACAGUAACUGCCUCUUCCUAGUUAUAUGAAUUCAGACAAGUCAUUUAACAUCAUUCGGCUCCAGUUUUAUCAUCUCUAAGGUAGAGAUAAUGACUUUUCUCACAGCAUUAUUAUGAGAACAUAAUUAAAAUAAUGGAUGUAUAUAAACCUUGCUUUUAGAAGCACUUUAUAGCAUUAUAUAAAUGUAGGGACUUAAACAUUUUGAUGUACUGAAUAUAAAUAUGUUCUUUGAAUUCCCAUUGUGGCUUAGCGGUUAACGAACCCAACUAGUAUCCAUAAGGAUGUGGGUUCGAUCCCUAGCCUCACUCAGUGGGUUAAGGAUCUGCUGUCGCUGUGAGCUGUGGUAUGGGUCGCAGAUGCAUCUCAGAUCUGGUAUUGCUGUGGCUGUGGUGUAGGCUGGCAGCUGUACCUCCUAUAUUCAACCCCU
rnacentral:lncRNA from 1 species